rnacentral:tRNA from 2 species
AAAAUCCGUCGACUUUAGAAAUCGUGAGGGUUCAGUC